rnacentral:rRNA from 1 species
AUUGAACGCUGGCGGCAGGCUUAACACAUGCAAGUCGAGCGGGGAUAGGGUGCUUGCACCUGAUUCCUAGCGGCGGACGGGUGAGUAAUGCUUAGGAAUCUGCCUAUUAGUGGGGGACAACGUUCCGAAAGGGACGCUAAUACCGCAUACGUCCUACGGGAGAAAGCAGGGGAUCUUCGGACCUUGCGCUAAUAGAUGAGCCUAAGUCGGAUUAGCUAGUUGGUGGGGUAAAGGCCUACCAAGGCGACGAUCUGUAGCGGGUCGGAGAGGAUGAUCCGCCACACUGGGACUGAGACACGGCCCAGACUCCUACGGGAGGCAGCAGUGGGGAAUAUUGGACAAUGGGGGGAACCCUGAUCCAGCCAUGCCGCGUGUGUGAAGAAGGCCUUUUGGUUGUAAAGCACUUUAAGCGAGGAGGAGGCUUACCUGGUUAAUACCUGGGAUAAGUGGACGUUACUCGCAGAAUAAGCACCGGCUAACUCUGUGCCAGCCGCCGCCGUAACAC